rnacentral:rRNA from 1 species
GACGUAGGUGGCGACCGUUAUCCGGAAUUAUUGGGCGUAAAGGGUGCGUAGGUGGCCUGACAAGUUAUCAGUGGCAAAUCGAGGCUCAACCUCGUGGAAACUGGUAAUACUGUUCGGCUUGAGUACAGGAGAGGUUAACGGAACUCUAUGUGGAGCGGUAAAAUGCACAGAUAUAUAGAAGAACAUCAAUAAAGGCGAAGGCAGUUAACUAUUCUGUUACUGACGCUGAGGCACGAAAGCGUGGGGAGCAAAACGG